UUUAUGGAGAGUUUGAUCCUGGCUCAGGAUGAACGCUGGCGGCGUGCCUAAUACAUGCAAGUCGAGCGAACGGACGAGAAGCUUGCUUCUCUGAUGUUAGCGGCGGACGGGUGAGUAACACGUGGAUAACCUACCUAUAAGACUGGGAUAACUUCGGGAAACCGGAGCUAAUACCGGAUAAUAUUUUAAACCGCAUGGUUCAAAAGUGAAAGACGGUCUUGCUGUCACUUAUAGAUGGAUCCGCGCUGCAUUAGCUAGUUGGUAAGGUAACGGCUUACCAAGGCAACGAUGCAUAGCCGACCUGAGAGGGUGAUCGGCCACACUGGAACUGAGACACGGUCCAGACUCCUACGGGAGGCAGCAGUAGGGAAUCUUCCGCAAUGGGCGAAAGCCUGACGGAGCAACGCCGCGUGAGUGAUGAAGGUCUUCGGAUCGUAAAACUCUGUUAUUAGGGAAGAACAUAUGUGUAAGUAACUGUGCACAUCUUGACGGUACCUAAUCAGAAAGCCACGGCUAACUACGUGCCAGCAGCCGCGGUAAUACGUAGGUGGCAAGCGUUAUCCGGAAUUAUUGGGCGUAAAGCGCGCGUAGGCGGUUUUUUAAGUCUGAUGUGAAAGCCCACGGCUCAACCGUGGAGGGUCAUUGGAAACUGGAAAACUUGAGUGCAGAAGAGGAAAGUGGAAUUCCAUGUGUAGCGGUGAAAUGCGCAGAGAUAUGGAGGAACACCAGUGGCGAAGGCGACUUUCUGGUCUGUAACUGACGCUGAUGUGCGAAAGCGUGGGGAUCAAACAGGAUUAGAUACCCUGGUAGUCCACGCCGUAAACGAUGAGUGCUAAGUGUUAGGGGGUUUCCGCCCCUUAGUGCUGCAGCUAACGCAUUAAGCACUCCGCCUGGGGAGUACGACCGCAAGGUUGAAACUCAAAGGAAUUGACGGGGACCCGCACAAGCGGUGGAGCAUGUGGUUUAAUUCGAAGCAACGCGAAGAACCUUACCAAAUCUUGACAUCCUUUGACAACUCUAGAGAUAGAGC
rnacentral:rRNA from 1 species